rnacentral:lncRNA from 1 species
CUCACCUCUCAUAACAGGAGCAGGUCCGAGCAGCAGGAGCAGGUCUGAGCAGCAGAAGAAGCCCACUUCCCGUCGCUGUCCCCUGCCCCCCGCGUCCAGAAGGAACACAUCUGGGACUGUGUGUGGGGAGGGGGAGCGCGUCGUGUGUUUGCACCGAGCUUUUCGAAGGUCAGGGAUCCCGGUCAACUCAGAUGGGCUCAGGAGUCGUCAUCCACUGUCUCCCGUCUGUCUGCAUGUGUGGAAUGUUGGCUCUGAUGACUUCAACCUAAAGUUACAGCUGUGUCAUUGAGCAUCACUUGUCUCUUAAGAGAACCCAUACAGAAGGCUCAGGGAUUCCAGACCCCAGUUUGAGAAUGUGGAUGCGGUUCUACCUUCCGGCGGGAGCGGAGCUUCGGGCUGGAUGCAGACGGAAAUUAAAAUGAAGAAGGAGAAGAUGAUGAAGGCGAUGGCUAUGAAGUCUUACCCAUGUUCCGCUCCUCCCGAGCAUCCCGGUGAACGCAACGAGGCCGAACACCAGCAGCGAGAAGAGGACGACGCACACCUCCAGCUCGGUGAAUGGGGAGGCCAUGAGCCGCUCCGCACGGUCAGCUGACACUAGGCUCCCAUACAAACUCGGGACAGUCUUUUCAAGCAAAAACAAGCGUGUGCUGUAGUGUGACCCGAGGCUUUGUGAACCAUUGUGACACCUCCCCUCUCCUAUUCUCGGUCACACAUUUGAACAUUUUGCAAAGGCGUAUCGGUGGAAGCUGUGAACAGCGGACUCCCCUCUCAAGUUCAACCAAGAUCAUAUUAACCCUAAUUAUUAAUGGGUGGCCUGCUUGCGCGUUUAACUGCAGAGGUUCAGUAGCACUGGACUCUCUUCACUAUACAAUGGUGGUCAUGUGAGUUAAAGAGAGCGCGGAAAACUCAUACGUAGCCAUUCGUUGUUCAUUUGCUACUUUUUGUUGAGCUUUGAAUGAUGUUAUAACCUGGAGUAGUAUUUUAUGCUGUUCUUCACCUUUGUAGUCUCUCCUUCUUCUGCUGAAGCGCUCCGAUCUUUAUUUCUCAAAGUCUGUCACGUCGUAGAUGUACAACAAAAGUGUCCAACACAUUUUUAAAGCCCACAAUCCAUCACCAAACCCGCUCUCAGCAAUUCUGUGCUCAAGGUGUGUUUCGUCAAGGCGCCAUAGAUGCACUAGUAUGCUGCUUGGAUUCACUGCUUUGUCACGUGUCAUUCCCCCUUUAUGCCUAUAGAGGCUGCUCCAGGCCAAUUCGACAUCCUGACCAGCCUUUCUCACACUCCUUACUGUCUUUUCCUGACAUAGACGUUAUUUUAAGGCGGAAUAUAUCAAAGCUGAGGCACCGAAAGGAAUGUUUUUAAGCCUAAAUUGUGCACAAAAUGUCCACAAAGUCAGCAAGGGACAAGGAUCGAACGGAAUAAAACCAACCAAGUCUACAAUGCCUUCACUGGAAUUGACUGGAAUUUUUACUUCAAAAUCUCUACUUUGCUAUUAUUUUUCAAUUUUCCAUUCUAUGGCAGAAUGAUCC